rnacentral:rRNA from 1 species
UGAACGCUAGCGACAGGCCUAACACAUGCAAGUCGAGGGGCAGCACAAGGAGCAAUCUGAGGUGGCGACCGGCGCACGGGUGAGUAACACGUAUGCAACCUGCCUGUAAGCGGGGAAUAACCCGUUGAAAGACGGACUAAUACCGCAUAAUACUAAAUUACUGCAUGGUAAUUUAUUUAAACAUUUAUGGCUUACAGAUGGGCAUGCGCAUGAUUAGCUAGUUGGAGAGGUAACGGCUCCCCAAGGCAACGAUCAUUAGGGGUUCUGAGAGGAAGGUCCCCCACACUGGUACUGAGACACGGACCAGACUCCUACGGGAGGCAGCAGUGAGGAAUAUUGGUCAAUGGACGAGAGUCUGAACCAGCCAAGUCGCGUGCAGGAAGAAUGUCCCUAUGGAUUGUAAACUGCUUUUGCAGGGGAAUAAAGUGCAUCACGUGUGAUGUUUUGUAUGUACUCUGCGAAUAAGGAUCGGCUAACUCCGUGCCAGCAGCCGC